UUCGGGGGGAAGCACGUGUGUAUGCAGCGGGAUUAUGUUUUGGCAGUUUCGGGGGAGCUUUCGGAAAUAAUGUAGGUCCCUACAUAUCGCCCAUCAACUAACAGCUACAGCAGCAGCAGCAGCAGCAGCAGCAGCAAAGUGCCGAGAAAUUGGUUUGCUUUUUAUUAGAAAAUUCCAAAACAUAUAAGACACCGAGGAUUUUGCAGGGACGGGAUGGCGAUGGGAAGAUUUCUGUGUGUCGUUUUUUUUUAGAUGGUUGGGAUAAUUUGACAUUUUGACCAGCGCUGCUGAUUGGAUAUUGAGAACGCUCCGUGUGUGACACCAUUUCUGCUGUGCUUGACUUUUUAUGCAAAUGUUGUGAUGAGCCAACAGUGUAGAAGAUGAUUUAAAGGUUUUUUUUUUCGGAUGGUUUUAGGAAUUUAUUGAUGUGAAACAGCUUAGAGUUCAAACUAAAUUUUGAAAUAAAACUUAACAGCGAUGUUUCUAUUUCAGCACUAGCAGAAAGCUUAAAAAAGGAAAUUAAUUGGCUUCGUCGGUGCACUAUUUCAUUAGUUUACUGUGAUUGUAAUCAUGAGUAGGAUGAUGCAUGUCAGCCAUUUUGACGGCCAUCUCAGGGUCCCUAGAUGUUUCACAUUAAGAGUGUAGCCGCUAUUGGAGUAACAAAGACAUUUUGCAAAUACAGUUGACUCUCCACAUAUCGAUAUCGAAGGGACCAUCGA